rnacentral:rRNA from 1 species
AUUGAACGCUGGCGGCAGGCCUAACACAUACAAGUCGAGCGGAUGACGGGAGCUUGCUCCUGGAUUCAGCGGCGGACGGGUGAGUAAUGCCUAGGAAUCUGCCUGGUAGUGGGGGACAACGUUUCGAAAGGAACGCUAAUACCGCAUACGUCCUACGGGAGAAAGCAGGGGACCUUCGGGCCUUGCGCUAUCAGAUGAGCCUAGGUCGGAUUAGCUAGUUGGUGAGGUAAUGGCUCACCAAGGCGACGAUCCGUAACUGGUCUGAGAGGAUGAACAGUCACACUGGAACCGAGACACGGUCCAGACUCCUACGGGAGGCAGCAGUGGGGAAUAUUGGACAAUGGGCGAAAGCCUGAUCCAGCCAUGCCGCGUGUGUGAAGAAGGUCUUCGGAUUGUAAAGCACUUUAAGUUGGGAGGAAGGGUUGUAGAUUAAUACUCUGCAGUUUUGACGUUACCAACAGAAUAAGCACCGGCUAACUCUGUGCCAGCAGCCGCGGUAACAC